GGCUUCCCUUCGGGGCAGGAUCACAGGUGGUGCAUGGCUGUCGUCAGCUCGUGUCGUGAGAUGUUGGGUUAAGUCCCGCAACGAGCGCAACCCCCGUCGCAUGUUGCCAGCAUUAAGUUGGGGACUCAUGCGAGACUGCCGGUGACAAACCGGAGGAAGGUGGGGAUGACGUCAAGUCAUCAUGGCCUUUAUGGCCAGGGCUACACACGUGCUACAAUGGUAGGUACAGAGGGAAGCCAACCGGUGACGGGGAGCCAAUCCCAGAAAGCCUAUCGUAGUCCGGAUUGGAGUCUGCAACUCGACUCCAUAAAGUCGGAAUCGCUAGUAAUCGCAGAUCAGCAUUGCUGCGGUGAAUACGUUCCCGGGUCUUGUACACACCGCCU
rnacentral:rRNA from 1 species